UUGUUGGAGUGAAAAAGUGAAGGGUGACAGCCGUUAAAACACUAUGAUUUUCACAAUAAGAAGUACAAAAUGAGCAGCCAAAGAGGACAAGGGGGAUUAGUGAGAGCAAUUAUAGAUUGCCAAAGAGAGGACAAGAGGGAUUAGUGAGAGCAAUUAUAGAUUGUGAAGUAGUCAAAAAUCAAAUCAAGUAGAAAAGAGUAGAGAUUACACAAUAAUUCAGUAUAGUUUUCCUGACGUAACCAUCUAUCUAUCCCCAAUGCCCAAGCAGCAGCUCUUUCUUCUGGAUCGAUCUCCUUCCCCUGCCGAUUCGAUCGCACUAUCUCAGAGGUACGGAGAGAAAUAGCGAUACGCCGCUAUAUACAGAAAUGUGUUGCUGGGCAUUGAUGAUUCGAUCAAUCUGAGGAAGAUAAUUGCAGUUUGAGGAAAGCACGAGAAUCACGCUCAAGGGCUACUAUAACAUGGCAAUGCCAUGGGCCAUGACUCUCUGGAUGGCCAGGAUGGUGUGGAUAGUUCUGAGUGGCUGGGUUUCGUCAUGCCUGACUGUUGCUGAUGAUAUUGCCAGCUCUAUCCGGACUGGCGACAUCAGCCCUUUCCAUGUUGGAUGACGGAAUUGUACAUUUAGUCAAUCCGAUUGCCUGCUCUGUUUUGUCUAUUCUCUGAUUUCACAGGCCAAAAUUGACCUUCGCUAUGUUCGUGAUUUGUAACAUAUUCAAAAUCCUUAGGCUUAUAAUGUGAUCAAAUGGCGUUUUGAAAGAUUACAUGUUCUGAAAGUAAAGAUGCUGAUGUGCGUAAAUGGAUGCCGCGUGGCAUCCUUUUCUACUUCCUCUCAACUGGAUCGAGUGUAGUGCCUAUUAAACCAAUGCACUUCUACAUGUGAAAUUUGUAUUAUAAUUUUAUGUUUAGGUGUAUUCCUUGUAAUUUUGUUUGUUUUUAUUUAUUUGUUCUUUUUGAAGUUCUUGUGAAGCUAGGGUUCCUAAUUGACAUUGAUAAUGAGCCACGAGUUCCUAUUUGCUUU